rnacentral:rRNA from 1 species
UUGGAGGGCAAGUCUGGUGCCAGCAGCCGCGGUAAUUCCAGCUCCAAUAGCGUAUAUUAAAGUUGUUGCAGUUAAAAAGCUCGUAGUUGAACCUUGGGUCUGGCUGGCCGGUCCGCUUCGCGGCGUGCACUGGUCCGGCUGGACCUUUCCUUCUGGGGAAUCCCAUGGCCUUCACUGGCUGUGGGGGGAACCAGGACUUUUACUGUGAAAAAAUUAGAGUGUUCAAAGCAGGCCUUUGCUCGGAUACAUUAGCAUGGAAUAAUAGAAUAGGACGCGCGGUUCUAUUUUGUUGGUUUCUA